UGCGUAGGUGGCGCUGCAAGUCAGAUGUGAAAUCCCCGGGCUUAACUCGGGGGGUGCAUUUGAAACUGCGGUGCUUGAGUGCAGGAGAGGAAAGCGGAAUUCCUAGUGUAGCGGUGAAAUGCGUAGAUAUUAGGAAGAACACCAGUGGCGAAGGCGGCUUUCUGGACUGUAACUGACGCUGAUGCACGAAAGCGUGGGGAGCAAACA
rnacentral:rRNA from 1 species